GGAAUCUUGCGCAAUGGGCGAAAGCCUGACGCAGCCAUGCCGCGUGGAUGAUGAAGGCCCUAGGGUUGUAAAGCUCUUUCAACGGUGAAGAUAAUGACGGUAACCGUAGAAGAAGCCCCGGCUAACUUCGUGCCAGCAGCCGCGGUAAUACGAAGGGGGCUAGCGUUGUUCGGAAUUACUGGGCGUAAAGCGCACGUAGGCGGAUUGGCAAGUUAGGGGUGAAAUCCCGGGGCUCAACCCCGGAACUGCCUUUAAAACUGCCGGUCUAGAGUUCGAGAGAGGUGAGUGGAAUUCCGAGUGUAGAGGUGAAAUUCGUAGAUAUUCGGAGGAACACCAGUGGCGAAGGCGGCUCACUGGCUCGAUACUGACGCUGAGGUGCGAAAGCGUGGGGAGCAAA
rnacentral:rRNA from 1 species